rnacentral:rRNA from 1 species
AAAGUGGAGCAAUCCAUGAGUAAAGUGGCGUACGGGUGAGUAACACGUGGAUCAUCUACCUUUUAGUGGGGAAUACCUCCGGGAAACUGGGGACAAUACCGCAUAAUCUCGUGAGAGGAAAGCAGCAAUGCGCUGAAAGAGGAGUCCGCGGCUGAUUAGCUAGUUGGCGGGGUAACGGCCCACCAAGGCGAAGAUCGGUAGCCGGCCUGAGAGGGCACACGGCCACACUGGCACUGAAACACGGGCCAGACUCCUACGGGAGGCAGCAGUGGGGAAUCUUGCACAAUGGAGGAAACUCUGAUGCAGCGACGCCGCGUGAGCGAUGAAGCCCCUCGGGGUGUAAAGCUCUUUCGACGGGAAAGAUAAUGACGGUACCCGAAGAAGAAGCUGCGGCUAACUACGUGCCAGCAGCCGCGGUAAUACGUAGGCAGCAAGCGUUGUUCGGAAUUACUGGGCGUAAAGAGUGUGUAGGCGGUGCUCCAAGUCUGUCGUGAAAUCUCCCGGCUUAACUGGGAGGGUGCGGCGGAAACUGGAGUGCUAGAGGGUGGGAGAGGAAAGCGGAAUUCCUGGUGUAGCGGUGAAAUGCGUAGAUAUCAGGAGGAACACCUGCGGUGUAGACAGCUUUCUGGACCACUUCUGACGCUGAGACACGAAAGCGUGGGUAGCAAACAGGAUUAGAUACCCUGGUAGUCCACGCCCUAAACGAUGCAUACUUGGUGUGAGCGAUUCAUUUCGUUCGUGCCGGAGCUAACGCGUUAAGUAUGCCGCCUGGGGAGUACGGUCGCAAGGCUGAAACUC